GUCGCCCAGGAGAACAAGGAAGGAGGGGAAAACCUUUACCAUCUUAAAAUCCAGCAAUCAAAGGAAAGAAUGGAAGAUAAUCAAUUGCAUGUCCAUCAUUUUCUAAUCAUCUUAACAUUCUAAACAUAAGGAAUUAAGGAAGAAAGCUCAAGUCGUUCCGGAUCGCAAACAAACAACGACAAAAGUAAAGCUACUUGAUGGAUGGCACUACUUGGUCCGAACACACUUAUGAUGCACGCUUCCGCGAAGGUCUUAGUUACGGGUCAAACUUUUGUUAAAUGAUGUCUUUUAUUAGUCUUUUGUAAGUAAUUUACCCGGUAAUUGUAGAAUGUUAA